ensembl:lncRNA
GAUCAUAAAAAGAGUGAUAAGAAACCCAUUUGAAAUCAACCACAUACCCAACUUUUCUACAUCUAAGAUAGGAUGUUUACUAAAUAUCUUAUUGUUUUUCAACUUUUAUGAUUCCAUUAUUUAUUUAUUUUCAUUUAUUUAUUUAUUUUUGUAUGAAGGUCACUUUUUUUCCAUAAGCUUUUCUUAUUUUGCAACUUAUCAAUUGUAUUGUACUGUAAUGUAUAUAUAUUUUUUCCCCGUAAAGUAUGAAAAUUAUCAUAAAAACAUUGUUUUAUAAAACUAUGAUAUUUAAACAAAGAUACAAUAUUAACAUAUUAUGUAUGUAGAGGCCAAAGUACAAUUCAUAGUAAUGUGAAUAAGAAUUAAUGUUAAAAAGGUAAAUAAUUUAAUUUAGACGUUCAUGUAAUGGGUAAAAUGUUAAAUACUACUUAAAAGGUUAAAAGCAUCUUAGAAUUCAUGUGUUUAUAGGUUUUGGUACAUAUUGGUAAAAUAGUGUGCUACCUCUUUAAGAAAAGGCCAACUAUAUUACGUUGAUUCUCAUUAUGUUAUUCAGAUCUUGAGAGCUGUGGAAGCGAACGGUUUUCUUACCUGCUAACUGCUAACUUCUAGUUACUUUUAUUAGUAAUCUUUUAUUUCAUUAGCGACUAUAGAAUAAGUGUAUUAGUCAGCUCACAUUUUCUUUUUUGUAAAUUUGAAACCAAGGAAUAAAACCGGAGAUUUUCAUCUUUUAUUUCAACAACGUUUCUGAAGUGGAUUUAUUGAACUGUGUUGCUGGGCUGACAAUGGACACUACAAAUGGGACUAGCUGCUUGGAAUAAUAUUAGACAGUUAUUAGUGUAAGCCAUCGCAUAUCUCAAGAUUUCAAACCUCUAUAUUAGUAAGAAAACCUGCUUGACAUUGGACAACGAGCCUUUGGAGAGGUUUGCGGAAAGUGGAACAUAAAUGAAGGUUCAAUGAAGGGCUAACUUUCUCGACUAGCCUGAUCAUGUGCUGUACUCGUGGCUUGUGAGUGCUAAGUGGAUUGCUGACGUCUCAGGGAGUUCGUCGUUGCUGCUGCUCGACUGUUGCGGGUGGAGCCUGUGGAGAAAACGGACUGACUAUCAAAGCAAUCAUGACGGAGACAGGAACAGAAGCCACGGUAAGCCUAACUGAGAAAAAACGAGUGGUUAAGCCAACACUUAAAGCAUUGGAGUAUAAUCUGCAAACGAAAAUGAGCUCCAGAAGAGCCAUAUUAGGACAACUAACUGAGAAAAAGAACGAAUUGCAUGGUUUAAUGGAUGAUGAUGCAAAUGUGGAAAUCAUAGCAAAGGAAUUGUUGGCCAAGUAUGAAACACUGAUAAAGGAAUUCAGUAAAAUAAAUGCUGACGUUAAAGACAUAUUUUGCCAGAUUGAAUGCAUAGAGAAUUUGAACACAGAUCAAAGGGAUUGGUUUGAGCCAAGAAAUAACGAGCACAGAGAAUUUGUGCAAGAAGUGACAGCAUGGAUACAGAAUGCAAUACUACGCAGAGAAGAGGCUAACAAGGUUAGUGAGCAGAUACAUCCUGAAGAUAGUGUGUCAGUCACAUCCAGUAAGUCUAGAAAAUCUAAGUCUGUUUCUGCUACUUCUGCAACAUCGUCAGCUCGUGCUGAGCGCUUAAAGGUCGAAUUAGAGAGAGCUGCUCUGUUAGCCAAGUCAGCUACAUUGAGAAAAAGACAGACUUUAGAGGAGCAUGAACUAAAGCUCAAGGUUGAAAAAGAACAGUUGGAGCUGCAAGCAGGGCUCGCUGCAACUGAUGCACGAUUAGCCGUGUUAAGAAAAUAUGAAAGUUCAGAGGUGUCAAGUAGAACCAAAGGCAGUAGGGUGGAAAUAUUGAUGUCUGCGCCAAGGAAGCAUGAUGUCAGCCACAGUAAGAGAAGUGUAGCUAGCAGUGGAACUUGGCAUAGCCACACUAGUGGAAGAGGUGCAGAUGCAAUACGAGCUCCUGUCACUUCAGAUAAUCACACAGAUAAUCUGGUUACCGUCAUGCAACGGCAAAACGACAUCACUGAAAGCCUAAUAAAGCAGCAAAGGCUAUCUACAUUGCCAUCACCGAACAUUCCAGUUUUCAAGGGAGAUCCAUUAGAAUAUCGUCUCUUCAUGAGAGCCUUUGAGCAUCGUAUAGAAAGCAAGACUGAAAACAGCAAAGAUCGGCUUUACUAUCUAGAACAGCACACAAAUGGGCAGCCUAAUGACUUAGUGCGCAGCUGUUUUCAUAUGGAUCCAGAUCAGGGCUACUCCGAAGCCAAGAGACUGCUAAAGGAACGCUUUGGUGAUAAAUAUAAGAUAUCCAUGGCAUACCUUGACAAGGCUUUAAACUGGCCUGCCAUUAAAGCAGAUGACACCAAGGCACUUGAAGCAUACGCACUCUUUAUGACAAACUGCAAUAAUGCAAUGUCAGAUCUGGAGUACUUAGAAGAGAUGGAAAAUGCUGCUAACAUGCGUACGAUCAUCUCAAAGCUCCCAUACAGGCUGAGAGAGAGAUUCAGGAGUGUCGCCAUAGACAUUCAGAAAAAGCAAGAUCGGCGGACAAAGUUCAAAGACAUAGUGUCAUUUGUCAACACACAGGCUGAAAUAGCAGCACACCCUGUGUUUGGUGAAAUCUCAGGACAAACAAGGCGCCAGACUGAAAGGUUAAGUGGAAAGAAAAACAUCACAACACUAGCCACUGAAGUAAAAGAACAGAAAGCUGAGAAAGAUGCUGCUAGUGCCCGAAACAAGAAAGCUCAGGAGAAGGGAACAAACAUGGACAAAGCCUUCAUGAAACCUUGUAUCUUCUGUCAGGGAGAUCAUACCAUGGAACAGUGCAAGAAACUCCAAAGAAAGCUUCACAAAGAAAAGCUUGAAUUCCUGAAGAGUAAAGGACUUUGUUUCAGUUGUCUUAUAGGAGGACACAUGAGUAAUGCCUGUGAAGAAAAGAAAAGCUGUCAGAUAUGUUCAGCGACACACCCUACGCUCUUACACAUAAAGCAGAAAUUUAAAGACUUACCAAAGGAAGAGGCAUCACAGGAGGAGCCAAAAGAGGAGUCUCCAAAGGAAGAGCAAACCGUUGUCAGUGGAUUCGUGGAUGCAGGGGAAGCAUGCUCUCAGACUGGGGUCGGGGGUACCGGUAGUGUCCUCGCCAUCGUUCCUGUGAGGGUAAAGGCAAAGAAAGGCAACAAGGUGCUGACUUGUUAUGCAUUCAUGGAUCCAGGGAGUAACGCCUCCUUCUGCACUAACAAGCUGGCGAACGACCUUCACCUGCAAGGAAAAAAUGUGAACAUCCUACUCACUACUAUGGGAGACCAAAAGACAGUCUCAUGUAAAGCUGUAUCAGACCUAGAAGUGAGUAGCUUAGAAGGUGAUGACUUUAUCGAGCUUACAGGUGUUUUCGCACAAAAGGUUAUCCCCGCAAGUAAAGAGAACAUUCCAACCCAAGAAGACGUGGAUAGGUGGCCACAUCUACGAGGUGUACGAAUUCCAUCGAUCAACGCGGAUAUCGGUCUUCUCAUUGGGACUGAUGUGGCAAAGGCUUUGGAGCCAAAAGAGGUAAUCCGCAGUGUCAAGGAUGGGCCGUAUGCAGUACGCACAGCUUUGGGAUGGACAGUGAACGGACCGCUGCGUGAGAACUUCAGAAGCUGGACAAAGAAUGGAUACCCGCAGAUCCAGAUGAAUCGGAUCUCAGUGGCUCGACUCGAAGACUUAUGGACUCAGCAACUCAAGUACGAUUUUCCUGAGAAUGCUCAAGGAGAGCAGUUAGAAAUGUCUAAGGAAGACCAACUGUUUAUGGAGAGAGUUUCCAAAUCGGCAAAGCUGGUCAACGGACACUACUCUAUUGGUCUUCCGUUGAAGAACAAGGAUGUGAAAAUGCCCAACAACAGAGCAAUGGCAGAGCAACGAGUGCUCAACAUGAAAAAGAAGCUACAGAGAAAUCAAACGUUCAAAGAGGACUAUGUCAGCUUCAUGAAUGAUGUGAUAAAGAAGGGCUACGCUGUAAAGGUUCCAGAUGAAGAACUAAAACGGAGUGAUGGAAAGGUGUGGUUUAUUCCGCAUCACGGUGUCUACCACCCUAAGAAGCAUAAAAUGCGUGUGGUAUUCGACUGUGGCGCUUCAUAUCAAGGAACCACACUCAAUGAACAAUUACUGCAAGGGCCUGACAUGACAAGCAGUCUGGUUGGUGUCUUGACUAGAUUCCGUCAAGAGCGAGUCGCAAUCAUGGCGGAUGUGGAAUCGAUGUUCCACCAGGUCAAAGUCCCACCAGAAGAUGCCGACCUUCUCAGGUUUUUGUGGUGGCCGGACGGCGACACCUCAAAAGAAAUGCAAGAGUACAGAAUGGAGGUACACUUGUUUGGAGCCACCUCCUCACCAAGUUGCGCAAGUUAUGCGUUGAGAAGGUGUGCCGAGGACAACAAGAACAUGUUUGGUGCAGCAGUUGUGGAUACAGUCUUAAAUAAUUUUUAUGUAGACGAUUGUUUGAAAUCAGUUGCCACUGAACAAGAAGCAGUCAGACUACUACAAGACUUGAAGGCCAUCUGUCAAACAGGAGGUUUUAGACUGACAAAAUGGACAACGAACAAUCGAAAUGUGUUGUUAAACAUUCCACUUGAGGACCGGGCAACAGAAGUCAAAGAUCUCGAUCUUGACCAGGAUUCACUCGCCAUCAAGAGAGCUUUGGGAGUACAGUGGUGUAUCCGGUCAGAUCAGUUCAAGUUCCAUGUGCAUAUAGAGCAGAAGCCUCUCACCAGGAGAGGAAUCCUGUCUACGAUGAGUUCAGUCUACGACCCACUGGGAAUGUUGUCGCCAGUCAUACUGCCUGCUAGAAACAUCCUGCAAGAAUUGUGUAGACUAAGAACAGGCUGGGAUGACACUGUGCCAGAACAUUUCGCACAACAAUGGACAGAGUGGACUGAAGAACUUCAACAGCUCACUGACUUUGGAGUGGAUCGGUGCUUUAAGACACCUGAGUUUGGGAAAACAGUGCAAGCUCGGUUGCAUCACUUUUGUGACGCGUGCGAAACAGGCUACGGUACUGUUACUUACUUAGUCCAGAAGAACAGUAACAAUCAAAUACUCUGCUCAUUUGUCUUGGGAAAGGCAAGGGUUGCCCCUCUCAAACCACCAACUAUCCCGCGGAUGGAGCUGACGGCGGCUGCCUUAGCUGUGAAGGUGGAUGUCAUGCUGAAGAAAGAACUACAGUUGCCACUGUCAGAUUCCAGGUUUUGGACGGACAGUACUGCCGUACUCAGGUACUUAGCAAAUGAGAACAUCAGAUUUAAGACAUUUGUGGCGAAUAGGAUUGCCAUAAUCUUGCAAGCAUCAAAAGUGCAGCAAUGGAGCUACGUCAACACUCAGUUGAAUCCUGCUGAUUGCGCCUCCAGGGGACAAAAGGUGAGUGUCUUCAUGAAGAACGAAGUUUGGAUUGCAGGACCUGUCUUCCUCAGUAAACCUGAAAGGGAAUGGCCAGACAAACACGAUUACCUAGAAGAGCUCACGGCUGAAGAUCCUGAGGUCAAGAAAGGCAUACUUGUCAAUGCUACAACAGCAGAAGAAAGCACUGAUGCAAUGCAAAAACUAAUUGGAUACUAUUCUUCAUGGAUACACCUCAAGAAGGCUGUGGCGUGGCUCACACGACUCAAGGGAACCCUGGUAAACCUGUCAAGGAAAAGAAAGGAGAUGAAUGGAUUGUACAGUGAUCAACAACGGGUGGACAGGGAGAUGCUGAGCUACAAAAAGAGUCUCAAACAGACUUACCUGACUGUGGACAAUCUGCGACAAGCUGAGACGGAUAUCAUCAGCCAUUGUCAGCAAAGUAGUUUCCAAGAAGAGAUAUCUGCUCUUCGUAGAAAGGACUCCAUCAAGAAGAGUAGUCGAAUCUUCAGACUGAAUCCACAACUUGAAGAGGGAAUCCUUCGUGUUGGAGGGAGGCUCAGUCGGGCAUCCAUGCCAGCCGAAGCCAAGCACCCUAUAAUCCUGCCUAAGAACCAUCGUGUGGCUGAUCUGAUUCUCCAGGAUUCACAUGAGCGGCUGGGACACAGUGGACGUAAUCAUGUCUUGUCUCAUGUACGUCAAAAGUACUGGAUUAUCGAUGCUCUCUCGUCAAUUAGAAGAAUGCUGUCACGGUGUACUAUCUGUCGAAGACAACAUGGUGCAUCAGGCACACAAAUGAUGGCGGACUUACCAAGAAACAGAGUUGUACCAGACGAACCACCCUUCACCAGAACUGGAGUGGAUCUAUUUGGGCCAUUCAACAUUAAACGUGGAAGAUCAUCUGUAAAAAGAUAUGGGGUGAUAUUUACCUGCCUUGCAUGUCGUGCGGUUCACAUAGAAAUAGCAACAUCAUUGGAAACAGACUCCUUUAUUCAAGCUCUGCGUCGCUUCAUUGCAAGAAGAGGUCAGGUAAAGGAGAUGAGAUCUGAUAAUGGGACCAACUUUGUUGGAGCUGAUCAUGAGCUCAGAAAGGCAAUAAAGGAGUGGAAUACUUCACAAAUUGAGAACAGCUUGCUCCAACGUGACAUCAGAUGGUUAUUCAAUCCACCAUCCGGAUCCCACCAUGGAGGGGUGUGGGAGAGAAUUAUCCGCUCCAUCAGGACAAUCAUGGGUUCUACACUGAGAGAACAAAACUUGGAUGAGGAAGGUCUUCAGACGUUCUUCUGUGAAUGUGAAGCCAUUCUGAAUAGUAGGCCUAUUACCAUGCCUUCCAAUGACAUUAAUGAUCUGGAAGCUCUUACCCCACAGCACUUACUCCUGCUCAAGACUAACCCCAACUUACCACCAGGACUCUUCCAUAAGGAUGAUACUUAUGCACGUAAAAGAUGGAGGCAAGUCCAGUAUAUGAGCGAUCUAUUCUGGAAGCGCUGGACCAAGGAAUAUCUGCCUCAACUUCAGAAGAGACAGAAAUGGAACCAUCCAUCACGGAACUUCAUCCCGGGAGAUGUAGUCUUGAUUGUCGAUGAAUCAGCCCCCAGGGGAGCAUGGCUGAUGGGAAGAAUCGUUAAGACUAUGGAGGACGAGCAUGGAGUGGUCCGCAAGGUUCGAGUCAAGACUAAGACGAAUGAACUUGAGAGGCCGAUAACUAAACUCUGCUUACUUCAGGAAGCAGUAUGAGAAGGACUGUAACUGAGUUUUACUCAAAAGAAAGACAUUUAAAGUUAUAAUUGCUUCUAGGAUAGAAGGCAAUUAGGGGCCGGGUAUGUAGAGGCCAAAGUACAAUUCAUAGUAAUGUGAAUAAGAAUUAAUGUUAAAAAGGUAAAUAAUUUAAUUUAGAAGUUCAUGUAAUGGGUAAAAUGUUAAAUACUACUUAAAAGGUUAAAAGCAUCUUAGAAUUCAUGUGUUUAUAGGUUUUGGUACAUAUUGGUAAAAUAGUGUACUACCUCUUUAAGAAAAGGCCAACUAUAUUACGUUGAUUCUCAUUAUGUUAUUCAGAUCUUGAGAGCUGUGGAAGCGAACGGUUUUCUUACCUGCUAACUGCUAACUUCUAGUUACUUUUAUUAGUAAUCUUUUAUUUCAUUAGCGACUAUAGAAUAAGUGUAUUAGUCAGCUCACAUUUUCUUUUUUGUAAAUUUGAAACCAAGGAAUAAAACCGGAGAUUUUCAUCUUUUAUUUCAACAACGUUUCUGAAGUGGAUUUAUUGAACUGUGUUGCUGGGCUGACAAUGGACACUACAAAUGGGACUAGCUGCUUGGAAUAAUAUUAGACAGUUAUUAGUGUAAGCCAUCGCAUAUCUCAAGAUUUCAAACCUCUACAAUGUACAUAUUAUAAAAAUGAUUUUGCUAAAUUUGAUUUCACAAUCAACUGUUUGGAGCUGUUUUAUUCUAGAAAUACUGGAAUUACUGAAACAAAAAACAAACAAACGAACAAAAAAAAUAUAUAUAUAUAAAAUGUAAAAAAAAUAAAUAAAUAAAUAAUAAGAAGAAGUAUUAUAAAUAAACAAAUAUUGAAAUAAUUUCCUCCACUGCCAUUUGCAAAAUUAGUUUAUUCCAAUCAAUCACACAAAUAUUGGCACCCUUGGUAAAUAUGAGAAAA